rnacentral:lncRNA from 1 species
UACAGAUGAAGCUUCGUUUGCUCACUUCCUGUUGUGUGGCCCAGACAGGGCACUGUCUGUGGCCCCAGGGGUUGAGGACCCCUGGCUUUAACAACAGAAAGGGAGGGAAUUGGGAUCUGAAGACGUUGCAUUCGAGGUCUCGGGGCUCCUGAUGAGCAGCCUCGGCCUGACCUGGGGCAGGUGUGAUGUCUGCGGCUCACCAUCUCCACCCUGCCUGCUGUGGAAUCUCCACAACGACAGGUGCUUUGGAGGCCAGAGUGCAUGCGUACGGGCCCUGCACACGCUGAAUGUCACUGGGAACAAGGACACACCCCGCUUCCAGGAGAAGAUAGAACAUGUCGACCCCUUUUACCAUAUGACACAUUAUCAGACCAAACCAGAGCUCUUGGUUUUCGGAUCUGGGGAUGAAUUCUUUAGCACAGAUGGAACCAUGAACUUCUAUGAUCAACUGCCAGGAAGGAAAUACCUCAGAGCCAUCCCCAGUGCAGGACAUGCUAUUGACUUCCAUGAGACAAACACCUACUUGGAAAUCAGGUUUUUUCUGUACCUUUUGAAGGAGCAGGAAUUUCCCAGCAUUUCCUGGACAAAGACGGAGGCCACAUUCGCUGCAUCCUUUCCAGCAAGAUGUCAUUCUGAGAUUUUUGUCAUUCCUGGGCGUUAUGAGGACUGCCAAGGGACACAAUUCCAUGGGAGGAAAGUUUUCUUCUAAGCUGCAAGCCAGCUCUGGCUUCUGGAGUUUCUCCUUAGGAUUGCAAGACAGUAGUUCCCUGUCCUUUAGGUCUUCUCCAGAAAUACCUUAAAAUAGCAAAUAAAAUAAGAUAUAAGCAAACAAAACCUGAAGUUAA